rnacentral:tRNA from 1 species
GAAGCCCCGGCACCUUUUGGGUGCGUCUUCAAACUUGCAAUCUGAUGUGUAUCGUACACUCCGGAG